CACGUAGGGCGCAAGCGUUGUCCGGAAUUAUUGGGCGUAAAGAGCUCGUAGGCGGACUGUUGCGUCCGCUGUGAAAAGCUGGGGCUUAACCCUGGCCUUGCAGUGGAUACGGGCAGACUAGAGGUAGGUAGGGGAGAAUGGAAUUCCCGGUGUAGCGGUGAAAUGCGCAGAUAUCGGGAAGAACACCCGUGGCGAAGGCGGUUCUCUGGGACGGUACUGACGCUGAGACGCGAAAGCGUGGGGAGCGAACAGG
rnacentral:rRNA from 1 species